rnacentral:rRNA from 1 species
CUCAGAUUGAACGCUGGCGGCAGGCCUAACACAUGCAAGUCGAGCGGUAGAGAGAAGCUUGCUUCUCUUGAGAGCGGCGGACGGGUGAGUAAUGCCUAGGAAUCUGCCUGGUAGUGGGGGAUAACGUUCGGAAACGGACGCUAAUACCGCAUACGUCCUACGGGAGAAAGCAGGGGACCUUCGGGCCUUGCGCUAUCAGAUGAGCCUAGGUCGGAUUAGCUAGUUGGUGGGGUAAUGGCUCACCAAGGCGACGAUCCGUAACUGGUCUGAGAGGAUGAUCAGUCACACUGGAACUGAGACACGGUCCAGACUCCUACGGGAGGCAGCAGUGGGGAAUAUUGGACAAUGGGCGAAAGCCUGAUCCAGCCAUGCCGCGUGUGUGAAGAAGGUCUUCGGAUUGUAAAGCACUUUAAGUUGGGAGGAAGGGUUGUAGAUUAAUACUCUGCAAUUUUGACGUUACCGACAGAAUAAGCACCGGCUAACUCUGUGCCAGCAGCCGCGGUAAUACAGAGGGUGCAAGCGUUAAUCGGAAUUACUGGGCGUAAAGCGCGCGUAGGUGGUUUGUUAAGUUGGAUGUGAAAUCCCCGGGCUCAACCUGGGAACUGCAUUCAAAACUGACUGACUAGAGUAUGGUAGAGGGUGGUGGAAUUUCCUGUGUAGCGGUGAAAUGCGUAGAUAUAGGAAGGAACACCAGUGGCGAAGGCGACCACCUGGACUAAUACUGAC